rfam:Oryza sativa Z221a snoRNA
GAGAUGGCGAUGAUGAGGAACUAGUCAUGCACCACUCUGAACUCGGGAGAGUUAUCUCUCCUGUUCUUGCUGACGACAAACAGACUUGCUACCCAUUAUCAAUCUGAGCCUACUC